rnacentral:rRNA from 1 species
GAUGAACGCUGGCGGCGUGCCUAAUACAUGCAAGUCGAGCGAACAGAUGAGGAGCUUGCUCCUCUGACGUUAGCGGCGGACGGGUGAGUAACACGUGGAUAACCUACCUAUAAGACUGGGAUAACUUCGGGAAACCGGAGCUAAUACCGGAUAAUAUAUUGAACCGCAUGGUUCAAUAGUGAAAGACGGUUUUGCUGUCACUUAUAGAUGGAUCCGCGCCGCAUUAGCUAGUUGGUAAGGUAACGGCUUACCAAGGCAACGAUGCGUAGCCGACCUGAGAGGGUGGUCGGCCACACUGGAACUUAGACACGGUCAAGACUCCUACGGGAGGCAGCAGUAGGGAAUCGUCCGCAAUGGGCGAAAGCCUGACGGAGCAACGCCGCGUGAGUGAUGAAGGUCUUCGGAUCGUAAAACUCUGUUAUUAGGGAAGAACAAAUGUGUAAGUAACUAUGCACGUCUUGACGGUACCUAAUCAGAAAGCCACGGCUAACUACGUG